rnacentral:rRNA from 1 species
AUUGAACGCUGGCGGCAGGCCUAACACAUGCAAGUCGAACGAGUGGCGGACGGGUGAGUAAUGUCUGGGAACCUGCCCGAUGGCGGGGGAUAACUACUGGAAACGGUAGCUAAUACCGCAUACUAUCAGAUGUGCCCAGAUGGGAUUAGCUGGUUGGUGGGGUAACGGCUCACCAAGGCGACGAUCCCUAGCUGGUCUGAGAGGAUGACCAGCCACACUGGGACUGAGACACGGCCCAGACUCCUACGGGAGGCAGCAGUGGGGAAUUUUGGACAAUGGGGGCAAGCCUGAUGCAGCCAUGCCGCGUGUAUGAAGAAGGCCUUCGGGUUGUAAAGUACUUUCGGCAGGGAGGCGUUAUCUGCAGAAGAAGCACCGGCUAACUCCGUGCCAGCAGCCGCGGUAAUAC